UACAGAGACUGCAAGCGUUAUUCGGAUUCACUGGGCGUAAAGGGUGCGCAGGCGGCCGAGUGUGUGAGGCGUGAAAGCCCGGGGCUUAACCCCGGAAUUGCACCUCAAACUACACGGCUGGAGCAUUGGAGAGGGUAGCAGAAUUCAUGGUGUAGCAGUGAAAUGCGUAGAUAUCAUGAGGAAUACCAGAGGCGAAGGCGGCUACCUGGACAAUUGCUGACGCUCAGGCACGAAAGCGUGGGGAGCAAAAGGG
rnacentral:rRNA from 1 species